CACGUAGGAGGCGAGCGUUGUCCGGAAUCAUUGGGCGUAAAGAGCGCGCAGGCGGCUUGGCAAGUCGGGUGUGAAAUCCCGGGGCUCAACCCCGGGACUGCAUUCGAUACUGUCAGGCUAGAGGUAGGUAGGGGAGAUCGGAAUUCCUGGUGUAGCGGUGGAAUGCGCAGAUAUCAGGAGGAACACCAAUGGCGAAGGCAGAUCUCUGGGCCGUAACUGACGCUGAGGAGCGAAAGCAUGGGGAGCGAACAGG
rnacentral:rRNA from 1 species